AGCCGUGUCCGGCGCACGGUCUUGGAAACCGCCGUGGCAGCUAUGUCACCGUGGGUUCAAAUCCUGCACUCACCGCCA
rnacentral:tRNA from 1 species